CUACGGGGGGCAGCAGCUAAGAAUCUUCCGCAAUGGACGAAAGUCUGACGGAGCGACGCCGCGUGAACGAUGAAGGCCGUGAGGUUGUAAAGUUCUUUUCCGAGGGGAGAAUAAGGAUGGCAGGGAAUGGCCGUCUGAUGACGUGAACUCGGGAAUAAGCCCCGGCUAAGUACGUGCCAGCAGCCGCGGUAACACGUAGGGGGCGAGCGUUGUUCGGAAUCAUUGGGCGUAAAGGGUGCGCAGGCGGUUAUGCAAGUCUGGUGUGAAAGGUCUCGGCUCAACCGAGGAAACGCGCUGGAAACUGUGUAACUAGAGUACAGGAGGGGGAGUUGGAAUUCCAGGUGUAGGGGUGAAAUCUGUAGAUAUCUGGAAGAACACCGGUGGCGAAGGCGAACUUCUGGCCAUGUACUGACGCUGAGGCACGAAGGCGUGGGGAGCAAACAGGAUUAGAUACCCUAGUAGUC
rnacentral:rRNA from 1 species